CUAUAUUUGAUAAGUAGCAUUAAAAAUUAUGCAAUUUUUGUUCCGAAAUAACUCUAUAUUUAUCAAAUGUUCAUGAAUAGAGGAAAAAUCGUAAUUUAUUGCUGCAUGUUUAACAAAAUUAAAAAAAAAGCACUAUUUACAGUUUUAUAAAAUUUGGGUCACAUAAUCUCCUUGCAAAAUGAAACAAAUUGUUGUUUUGAAAAAUAGGGGUCCAUGCACUCGUUUUUAAAUUAAAUCAGUUUGAAUGAUAAAAAUCAGUCGAAAAAUGCAUCUUUUCCCGAUAUGUCACAGUUUGACGUCGCGAAAAUAACAAUUUACGUUAGCAACGUCAUUACCUUCCAUGUAACUGCAUCGUAUGCCCUUAAUAACACAUUGCAAAUCUUUGACUUUCUGACUAUUUUCUAUACAAGUGCAACACUGCCGAAAGUUGGUGUAAAAGCACUAAUGUGAAUAGCUUUCAUUACACCAGGCAAACCUUUCUUUGGAUGUUACUUAGAGAUGUUAAGUGAAAAAAGAUAUUUAAUUUGACCAUUCUGUGUUAAAAUGAUACGUUCAAAUAUGGUUUGUACAUGCUAACUUUAUUGAUGUUGCUUUCAAUUGGUGGAUUACUUCUGUUUACAAAACUACAAAUAGAAAUGGGAAAUUUUUAUUAUAAUUUUUUAAAAGUUUUAUUGUAAUCUUUAUUUUUAACUUUAUCUUAGCAAUCCUGGUGACAAUUUAUCAAGGAAUGGUUUGGUAGUAAUAAU
rnacentral:lncRNA from 1 species